rnacentral:rRNA from 1 species
UACGUAGGGGGCAAGCGUUGUCCGGAAUCAUUGGGCGUAAAGAGCGCGUAGGCGGCCCGAUAAGUCCGCUGUGAAAGUCAAGGGCUCAACCCUUGAAUGCCGGUGGAUACUGUCGGGCUAGAGUCCGGAAGAGGAGAGUGGAAUUCCUGGUGUAGCGGUGAAAUGCGCAGAUAUCAGGAGGAACACCGGUGGCGAAGGCGGAUCUCUGGGCCAUUACUGACGCUGAGGAGCGAAAGCGUGGGGAGCGAACAGG